rnacentral:rRNA from 1 species
AACGCUGGCGGCAGGCUUAACACAUGCAAGUCGAGCGGUAACAUUUCUAGCUUGCUAGAAGAUGACGAGCGGCGGACGGGUGAGUAAUACUUAGGAAUCUACCUAGUAGUGGGGGAUAGCACGGGGAAACUCGUAUUAAUACCGCAUACGUCCUACGGGAGAAAGGGGGCAACUUGUUGCUCUCGCUAUUAGAUGAGCCUAAGUCGGAUUAGCUAGAUGGUGGGGUAAAGGCCUACCAUGGCGACGAUCUGUAGCUGGUCUGAGAGGAUGAUCAGCCACACCGGGACUGAGACACGGCCCGGACUCCUACGGGAGGCAGCAGUGGGGAAUAUUGGACAAUGGGGGGAACCCUGAUCCAGCCAUGCCGCGUGUGUGAAGAAGGCCUUUUGGUUGUAAAGCACUUUAAGCAGUGAAGAAGACCUAACGGUUAAUACCCGUUAGCGAUGACAUUAGCUGCAGAAUAAGCACCGGC